GAUGAACGCUGGCGGCGUGCCUAACACAUGCAAGUCGAACGGUGACACGAUGAACUUUGCUUUUUUGCGUUCGCGGCGAACGGGUGAGUAACAUGUGUGUAACCUUCCCUUAUGUCUGGGAUAACCUCCUGAAACCGGUGCUAAUACCCGCUAAACUUUGCAACUCCAAAGAGGGGUACUUUCGGGCCUCUUUCCAUUGGCUGUUCCCUGGUGGCAUUAGCUAGUAGGUGGGGUGACGGCUCACCUAGUCGACGAUCCCUAGCUGGUCGGAGAGGUUGACCGGCCACACUGGAACUGAGACACGGUCCAGACUCCUACGGGAGGCAGCAGUAGGGAAUCUUGCACAAUGGGCGAAAGCCUGACGCAGCAAUGCCGCGUGUAUGAUGAAGGCCUUCGGAUUGUAAAGUACUGUCAGUGGGGAAGAAGGGAGGAGAAAGAAACUAUGCGCGUAUUGACGGUACCUGAUGAAGAAGCCCCGGCUAACUACGUG
rnacentral:rRNA from 1 species